AUGCAAGUCGAACGAGACCUUCGGGUCUAGUGGCGCACGGGUGCGUAACGCGUGGGAAUCUGCCCUUAGGUACGGAAUAACUCAGAGAAAUUUGUGCUAAUACCGUAUGAUGUCGAAAGACCAAAGAUUUAUCGCCUAAGGAUGAGCCCGCGUAAGAUUAGCUUGUUGGUGAGGUAAAAGCUCACCAAGGCGACGAUCUUUAGCUGGUCUGAGAGGAUGAUCAGCCACACUGGGACUGAGACACGGCCCAGACUCCUACGGGAGGCAGCAGUGGGGAAUAUUGGACAAUGGGCGAAAGCCUGAUCCAGCAAUGCCGCGUGAGUGAUGAAGGCCUUAGGGUUGUAAAGCUCUUUUACCAGGGAUGAUAAUGACAGUACCUGGAGAAUAAGCUCCGGCUAACUCCGUGCCAGCAGCCGCGGUAAUACGGAGGGAGCUAGCGUUGUUCGGAAUUACUGGGCGUAAAGCGUACGUAGGCGGUUAUUCAAGUCAGAGGUGAAAGCCUGGAGCUCAACUCCAGAACUGCCUUUGAAACUAGAUAGCUAGAAUCUUGGAGAGGUGAGUGGAAUUCCGAGUGUAGAGGUGAAAUUCGUAGAUAUUCGGAAGAACACCAGUGGCGAAGGCGACUCACUGGACAAGUAUUGACGCUGAGGUACGAAAGCGUGGGGAGCAAAUAGGAUUAGAUAUCCUGGUAGUCCACGCCGUAAACGAUGAUAACUAGCUGUUCGGGCUCUACGAGCUUGAGUGGCGCAGCUAACGCA
rnacentral:rRNA from 1 species